ACUUUCUUUUAUUAUGUCAAUAAUUACUUUAUAUAUCUUAAUUAGUAUAUCCAUAGAUACAAAAUAAUGGUAAUAUGGUGACCCGAUUGUACUUCUUUCUUUCUUUCUUUUAUAUGUAUUUUCUAUAAUACAUGUAUCUAUCCAGCUACAUCUAUGUUUUUAUUUUAUUUUUUAACUUCAAUUUAUAAUUGUAAACAAAUACGUAUAUCAGAGUAGAAUCCGUGCGUACGCAUAAUUU
rnacentral:lncRNA from 1 species